UCGUAGAACAAUAUUAACAGUUGUUUUCAAUACAUAUUUCAAUUCUCUACAAAUAGUUUCUUAUGACUUUUGAUGUAAAAUAAUUAGGGAAGCAGGAAUUCAACAGUUUAGAAUUUUACAUUGAGUUUCCUAUGACCCGUGUUCCAAUUCACCACCCGGUAUACCUCUAUGGUUAUUAGUAGAACCUUAGAAUAUAAAAUAAAUAUAAAAUAGAAUAUAAAAUAAAUCAGGAAGGAGUACAAUGCGAAAUGACUACGAGCCAGGAAGGAGGUUGCAAAUGGCGAUCAGCUGUCAGAUUUGCUUUCUACCUCCAGUGACGUACCUUUGAAAGAGGGAAGAAAAGAAAUUCUUAACGAUUUUAUUACAUCUUUUAUGUUAAACAAACAGCUACAGAUCAAGAGAAAAUACGUAUUAAUAUAAUAUUUUGUUGAAAAGUCAGUUAAAUAACAUUUUAUUAUACUAAUAACUUCAGUUAAUUGAUUGCAUAUACAGGAGCUUUACCAGAUGGUACGCCUAUGCACACAGCUGAUCCAAUACACAAACACCUUCUACCUCGUUGACAAAAACUUAUGAGUCAUGCCCCGGAAUCUAUAUGAACAAACUGGGGAAUUUCCCCCAUCACUUUCACUACCGUCAGCUAAUAAAGAGAAAUGACAGCCUAUCUCGCUCACGAAGACUUUAACCAAUCAUUUAUGUUAACGCCAUAUCUGAAUGUCAUAAAUAAAAUAAUCAAACGAGGCUUAACUCGGCAAUGUCAAUUCUGUCAAAAGUAAUGACAGUUAGUGGAAAAAAUUUUCCAUUAGUUUACAGUUUUUAUUUUUUAUUGUAUUACCUUUAACGAUUUGUUCUUAGUAAUUUCAAUUUAAGUUGGUUCCUUAUCCUUCGUUGAUAAAGUGUAGUUUUGUUUUAGUUACGAAACGAAAGAACUUUUGUGUUGUGUUAAUAAAAGAACUGAACAUGGUUUAUUAUUGUUGUGUACAAAUCAUAGAUAAGUUAGAAAAAUGCAUAGAUAGGUAAAUAGUAAUUAGUUUAUAACUGUUUUAUCUGAAACAACAAAUAAAUACACGUACCUAUAUUUAGAAAAACAUUGUCAUAACUUUUUUUAUAUCCCUUUUCCUUACUAAAUUUGACAGCAAAAAUAACAUAUUUUUGUAACUUGGGAAUUCCGAAUAAUUUAUGAGUAUUACUUAAGUCCACUUUACAUCAACAAUAAAUUGGACAAGAAAUUGACCAAGUUAUUCAAGGCCAAAUUUGACGUGUAAAAGCACACUUUGACAUCUAAGUUUGUUCGUUAUAAACUUCACGUGAAGAAAUUGACGAAAAAGAAAAUUGUUCUAUUUUUUCAUUUAUUUGGCGUGAAUUCAGUGUCACCAACCUGUGUCCAUUUGGCGGGAAGUGGAAGUAGAGCUGUAGAGCUUUUUGUUUAUUAUUAUUUGUUGAGGUUGAGUCUUUCAUGUUCAUGACAACCUAAAAAUUUUGAUUGGAAAAUGCAUAUAAGAUAAGGGGGUGGGAAAAUGGAAAUUAGUGGCUUUUUUGCAGUUCUGUCUGUUAGUUUUGCUCUGGCUGGGUCUCUUUUGUUUAAACAAUUAUAAUCAGCUGAAAGUGGUCUACAAAAAAACCAGGAAGGAAACGUAUUAUAGCCUUGUUGUGGCUAUGAAAGGCAAAAGAAAGAUACCUAUAAAAAGUGUAUUGACUAGUUGGAAGAAACUCCACAUUGUCGAUGCAUAAUAAGAUAUUACUUUAUAAACAAAUAUCAAGACCUAGGAAUGGAACCUGGAUAAUAUAGUCAUCAAGAAGAUAGCAGGAGGUCAUGAGCAACAACAACUUCAUAAGUAUGAGAAUAUUGAGGAAAUCCAGCUCCUCGAUAUCUACUACUGGACAAACUAGAAGAUUGAAGAGGACAAAGCCUUUUGAACUAGUUUGAGUGAUAGGUGAUAGUGAAAAGCAGAGCGUAGUGCUUGUGUGCCUGUGUAUGUUAGAAUAGUGCACGAUCUUGUUAGAUUAGAUAAGAGACGCUAUAGGGUAAGCUCUUCAUUUUAAGGAACAGUAGUAAUUUAGGUUAAAUUAAAAUUGCUCAUUGGUCAGUUAUGACCAGAUUGUAAUUCUCUGAUGUUUGGCAAAAAGGGCUGAAGUCAGAAUUGCACAUCAAUAAUGUUUUGAUGAUUUCUGGACCAUAAAAAAAGUGUUGCAGACUUAAACUGUAUGUACCAAUAAAAAGAGCCGAUUUUUCUGGUCCAGAAAUCAUCAAAACAUUAUCGAUGUGCAAUUCUGACUUAAGCCCUUUUUCCCAAACAUCAGAGAAUUGCAAUGUACAAUUCAAUACAAAUGAAUCAUCAUCGUAGUGAUGAUUAUGGAAAAAAAUAUAUAUAUAUAGAAAUAUAUAUAUUUUGUGCAAUAAAAAUGUUUAUAUUUAUCAAGGAUGUAUUAUUUGGUAUGGCCACAUAUACUUCUGGUAUAUCGUCGGUGAUGUGACAAUACCUCCUAUCUGCUUUUUCAUGAAUUUUGUAGGAGACGAAAAACCAUUUUUAGGGUCAUCUGUUUUCACAUGUAAAUUUUGACAUGUUUUGUAGUAAAUAGAUAAUUGAAUUUACUACAAAACAUGUCAAAAAAUAUCAUAUGAAAAUAGGAGGUGACUGUAAAAAAAGUUUUUAGUCUCUCUUACAAAAUGGUUAACAGUUAAUAGAGAGACAGAUAAUCGAGGUUCCACUGUAUAGUGAAAUUUGGACACCCGACACCCCAUACAAAUUUUAUGGGGGUUUUGUUCGUUUAAACCCCCCCCCCCCCCAAACUUUUGUGUAAGUUACAAUUGAAUUAUUAUUGUGGUACUAUUAAACACAAUGUUUUUAAAACUUUUUUGCCUCUUAGUACUUUUUUGAAGUCAGUUUUUAUCGUGAUAUUUUGAAUAUUUGUCAAAUCCACCACAUAUUUGUAUAUGGUUAAGUACGAUUGUAGAGACUAAUAAUAUGAAAAUUUAUUUAUGAUUUACAUUUUUAGGUAUAUUUUGAACCAUUUUAAAAAGAAGCCAUAUCUUGAUAAAAAGAGCUUUAUCGAAAAAAUAGAAAGAGGCAAAAAAGUUUUAAAAACACAGUGUUUAACUAAUGGUACCGCAGAAAUAAUUUAAUUGGAACGUACCCAAAAGUUUGGGGGGGUUAAAGGGAACAAAACCCCCAUAAAAUUUUUAUGGGGUGCACAAAUUUCACUAUAAUUUUUCUUUAAGAUGUUACUGCAAUAAUAUUGCUUCAUGUCCAUUUUCAAUAAAAAAUCUUUAAUAGUUUUCGAUAUAUUCGAAAAAAUCGAAUUUUCAUUUUGUAUCUUCAAAGGGCUGUAACUUUUUUUGUGUGCAUAUUUGUACUAAGGUAAGUUAGGUUCAUUCAAAUUUUUUUUGGUCCCAGAAUAUGUGAUUUAAUUUACGACCAAUCUUUUCGGGACACCCUGUAUAAUAAAUGGGAUUAGCUGGCUUAAAAAUUCAUAAUCUACGUUCUGUAGAAAAUAUACAGUUUUUGGUUUCUUUUUAACUAGAUCUUAAUAUCUAACCAAGCAUUUUAAGACCUUUUUAUUAUUUUUUCGAUGAUAUAUUCAUGUUUUUAGUUUGUUCAAAAUAUUCUAGAUGAUUGUACACUAUAAUAGAUAGCCAACUAAAUAAACACAAAAAUUUUAUUUUUGUUACAGCCUGUAUAUAAGUUUACCUAUAUAUACAGUGCAUUACGCACCACCUUAAAAAUUGGGCAUUUUUGAUGUCUCGAAUUUCCUAAACCUGUUGUCCCAUCUAAGUGAUUUUUUUAUAAUAAUAUAGCCUGAGGCUAUAGGUUACUGCCUUAUGCUUGUCAUGCACGGGGAGCUAUACUGUAAUAUAUAUUAUAUCACGUCGCUCUCUAUAGUAAUGAGUGAGCCUGCACAUACGGAACCAUUAGUUCCCUGUCUGCAGGCUCACUCAUUACUAUAGAGAGCGAUAUGAUAUAAUAUACAUAUAUUACAGUAUAGCUACCAGUGCAUGACAAGCUUAAGGAUGUAACCUAUAGCCUAGGCUAUAUUAUAAAAAAAUCACUCAGAUGAGACAACAGGUUUAGAAAAUUCGAGACAUCAAAAAUGCCCUAUUUUUAAGGUAGUGCGUUAAUUUCUUGGAGAAGUGUAUUGUAAUUUAAUGUAAAUAAUGUAAUAUCCAAUAAUUGUAAUUUAAUAUAAGAUGUAAUAUAAGUUCCUUAAAAA